rnacentral:rRNA from 1 species
UACGUAGGGUGCAAGCGUUAAUCGGAAUUACUGGGCGUAAAGCGUGCGCAGGCGGUUAUGUAAGACAGAUGUGAAAUGCCCGGGCUUAACCUGGGAACUGCAUUUGUGACUGCAUGGCUAGAGUUUGGCAGAGGGGGGUAGAAUUCCACGUGUAGCAGUGAAAUGCGUAGAUAUGUGGAGGAACACCGAUGGCGAAGGCAGCCCCCUGGGUCAAGACU